AGCCGACGAGCUAGAGCCGGACUCUAUAGCGUGCCCUCGCAAGAAGCGUGGAAUUAUCUUUGAGCCAUAGCCGAUUGGUCUCAUUGGGAUUGGAUGCUUUCGUUUAAUGACAAGAUAAGAUGGAAAGCUGAUACGUUAUGAAGGAAAGAAUAUGUUUCCAAUAUGUUCAUGCGAACCAACGAAAAAGCCAUCUUUUUUUUCAACUGCCUGCGAGGCGCUGGCAUGUCAAAGUAGCGCAAAACGUGUUGCUCGCAUAAAUUUCAUUUAUGCCAGUUAAAUUAAUUACUGUCAACACAUGCGAGCCGGCAGCAGAGCAGAGUAGAGCCCAAAAACACCAAAAAAACUGCAACUACCAAAAUGAGGAACCGCAGCAAAAACAAUUGCCAAUCAGCCGCAGAAACUAAAGCAGGCCAAGCGUCCAACCGAAAGUCUAAAAGCAACAACACCAUCAUGAGGACUGCGAGAGUCGUCUAAAGUCUGCCCCGUCUACAGUCUCGGAUCGCGAUUCUCCGAGGCCCGGGAGUCGGAGCGUCGAGCGUGUUCCGAACAUAAACACAAAGUCAUAAAGUUUUUUUUUAUACGAAAACAUUUAAUUUUAUUGCAUUUUUGGGCAGCAGCCAGACCCCAGACCCCCAGACCCAAACGAACCCCACAGACCCCGCGUAACGUCAACCCUAGCCCCGGACGAUAUGGCGUGAACAUCUAGUGGCUGCUGAUGGUGGGUGGGUGGUGCUGGGAGUACUCCAAUGGACGAGCAUGGUCUGCUGGCCAGGCCAACUUAAUUUGCCGCAAAUCGAGCAAAACUACAGGGGAAACAAACAGAACAAAAGCUGCAAAAUACUUUGGUUUUCAAAACUAACAAAAAAAUUAAAUGAAAAAAUUGUAAAAAGAAGUAAUAUA
rnacentral:sRNA from 1 species